rnacentral:lncRNA from 1 species
UCGCCCACUGUACAGGAACUUUCCCAGCUUAAGUCUUAGGCAGGAAGAAGAAGGUGCUAGAAUUUGUCUUUUUAAAAAGUGCAUUGGUUGAUGCUGGUGGAAAAUAAUAUGCUGAAGAACAAACACUGCCUUCCACUUCUGCUGUUGCUCUGGGAGAAGUCCCAGGGGCUCAUGCUAUCAUUUAAAUUCCAGGUGCUGCUUUUCUGAACAAUGCCUCCAGAGGAUUUCUGCACCUGGAAAAUCCCUGCCAACAGAUUGCCUUUACACCCUAUCUGCACAGACCUCCAGAAUGGAAGAAUUGGAGCAUGGAGACGGACCACAGCACCAGGAACCUCCUAAGACGCAGGCAGAAGUGAUACCUUCUAUGGACUUUAGACAUGGUAAGGUUGGGUGCUUUGAGGUGGGGAGGUCAUCCUGGAUUAUCCACAUAGGCCCACUCUAAUCCCGUGAGUCUUUGCAAGGAGAGAACCUUUUCUGGCUGUGGUCAGAGGGAGUUGUGCCUGUGGAGGAAGGUCAGAGAGAUGUGCCAUCACUGCUACUGAAGAGCAGGGGAGAAGAGUUCAGCUCCCUCUGGAAGCUGGGAAAGGCAGGACAGCGCCUCCAGAAAGGGACUCAGCCUUUCCGAUGCCUUGAGUUUUCCCCAGUGAACCUGUUUGGACUUGUGACCUUCAGAAUUCUAAAACAAUAAAUUUGUGUUUUUUUAAUUUAAUAUGGUCUCAUUUGUUCAUUCUUGGUACUAUUUUUUGUGCCAUUGGGAUUCCGUGCAGGAAGUCUUUACUUAAUGCCUGUGCCUUCAAGUGUUUUACCUCUUUUCUCUUCCAGCAGAUUGUUUGUUAGCAUUUAGAUCAUUGAUCCAUUUUGAUUUUAGUUAGU